rnacentral:rRNA from 1 species
GACGUAGGGAGCAAGCGUUGUUCGGAUUUACUGGGCGUAAAGGGCGCGUAGGCGGCGCGGUAAGUCACUUGUGAAAUCUCUGAGCUUAACUCAGAACGGCCAAGUGAUACUGCAGUGCUAGAGUGCAGAAAGGGCAAUCGGAAUUCUUGGUGUAGCGGUGAAAUGCGCAGAUAUCAGGAGGAACACCGGUGGCGAAGGCGGGUCUCUGGGCAACAACUGACGCUGAGGAGCGAAAGCGUGGGGAGCAAACAGG